UCUUUCUCAUCUUCAUCGACAUCCAUCAGUAGAUGCCUAAUCACCUAAGAUUCAUCAGUAGAUGUCUAGUCAUUAUCCUUUUCCAUAGUAGCAUCCAUCAGUAGAUGUUGUCAUUCAUCAUCCUUAUCAUAGCAACAUCCAUUAGUAGAUGUUGCGCAAGCAUCCAUCAGUAGAUGUUGUCAUUACUGCCAUUAGAAGCAGCAUAUAACCUAAAAAAAAAACUCAAACACACAAAAGAAAAAUCAAUUCUAGACCACACAACAAAAUUAAAAAAAUAAUAAAAUAAAAUAGAACAAAAUAAAAUAUAAAAAAUUCAGAAACUAGGUUGCCUCCCAGUAAUUGCUUCUUUAACUUCACUAGCUUGACCCACUACAAUUGCCCUGUUCCUCAAACAUUCCCUCUUCUGCAUAUUUUUUUUUUCUUUUUGUUGAAUUUUUUCAGGAAUUUGAUAUAACCAGGUACUUGAUAUAGUGUCCCAAUCAUAGGAAUUUUAGUCUCCAAUUUCUUGAAGAUUUCCAUGAAACGCUCAAACUCUUUUUCCU
rnacentral:lncRNA from 1 species